UACAGAGGUCUCAAGCGUUGUUCGGAUUCAUUGGGCGUAAAGGGUGCGUAGGUGGCGCCGUAAGUCAGGUGUGAAAUCUCGGAGCUCAACUCCGAAACUGCACUUGAUACUGCGGUGCUCGAGUACUGGAGAGGAGAUUGGAAUUUACGGUGUAGCAGUGGAAUGCGUAGAUAUCGUAAGGAAGACCAGUGGCGAAGGCGAAUCUCUGGACAGUUACUGACACUGAGGCACGAAGGCCAGGGGAGCAAACGGG
rnacentral:rRNA from 1 species